rnacentral:lncRNA from 1 species
UUACGAAUACAUUAGGAUAUAUGAGUGCUUUAAUUUAUUUUAGAUGUAAGUAACAUUGAGAAAUAUUCAAUUAUUCUUUAAAUGUGUUUUAUGAUAACAAACCGUUCAGACCAGUGUUAAAACAUGUUUAUUUUCAUUUUUUAUACUGUUUCAUUUAAACUUUACAAUACUGAUGGUAAAUUGUCCAAAAAUCUCCGUAGAUGCAUUUAGAACUUUUUUUGUUAAUUAUAAAUCUUUCUUCAUAGAUUGAGAAAUUUAUGUAUAAUGUUACAGUGGUACCAUAAUAUGUUUGUUAAAGGAUUGAAGGAUUGGUUUAAAAAACAUGUCUUCCAAAAAAAUUCAAAUGUAAGUUUCAUCAUUUAAAAUUGACUUUUCUAAAUUGUAUUUUAACACAAAUUGCACCCAAUUAAUUUCAAUACAAACUGGAGUCCAUUAAAGGUAGAACAAUGUAGUAGAUUGCAUGGUAUUUGUUGAUUGUGGGCUGUACAUUUCUUUGUUAACAUUUUAUUAUACUAUCUGUUACUUGUAUUAUUAUAAGAAGUUUAAGGUAAACCUUAACAGUUGUGUAUUAACUUAAGCAUGAAUAGAAAUUCUUCAAACAUUUGUUUAUUUCUAUACAAACUAUUAAGGAUUUCUUCACAUUGGUCAUGAACAUUUUGAUAUAUAUAACAUCAGUUGAAGUGAUGAUUUUUGAAAAGAAUAAAGUAAUAACUUUUUAUUGUAUAUACAUGUACAAGUUAUAAUGUGUUUGACCAUGCUUAUUCAUUGUAUAAACAUGUACAAGUUAAGAUGUGUUUUACCUUGCUAAAUCAUUGUAAAACAACAUUAUGAGGAAAUUUACCUCAAUAAAAAUAUGAAAAAA